GACGAACGCUGGCGGCAUGCUUAACACAUGCAAGUCGAACGCAGCAUCGGAGCUUGCUCUAAUGGCUGAGUGGCAAACGGGUGAGUAACACGUGGGAACUUACCUUUUAGACUGGGACAACCACUGGAAACGGUGGCUAAUACCGGAUACGCCCUGAGGGGGAAAGCAGCAAUGCGCUAAGAGAGAGGCCCGCGGCAGAU
rnacentral:rRNA from 1 species